GAGAGUAAAACAGUACGUGAAAUUGUUGAAAGGGAAACGCUUGAAGUCAGUCGUGCCGGCGUUGGAUUCAGCUUGCUUCGCGGAGCAGGCGUAUUUCCGCGCAUGGCAGGUCAGCGUCGAUUUCGGAGGUUGUAAAAUACUUGGGGGAAAGUAACUCUGCUUCGGGAGAGUAUUAUAGACCCUGGGGGAUGCAGCCUGCGGGAUCGAGGAUUGCAGCAAAUGCCUUUGGCUUGUCGCCUGAUCUCUGGAUGUUACCUCGCUUUUGACAACAUUCUUGCCACUUGUGGGUACUAAUGCCCAUUAGGUUAGAGCGAUCAAAAAUUUUGCUAAGGAUGCUGACGUAAUGGCUUUAAACGA
rnacentral:rRNA from 1 species